rnacentral:rRNA from 1 species
GAUGAACGCUGGCGGCGUGCUUAACACAUGCAAGUCGAACGAUGAAGCCCAGCUUGCUGGGUGGAUUAGUGGCGAACGGGUGAGUAACACGUGAGUAACCUGCCCUUAACUCUGGGAUAAGCCUGGGAAACUGGGUCUAAUACCGGAUAGGAGCGUCCACCGCAUGGUGGGUGUUGGAAAGAUUUAUCGGUUUUGGAUGGACUCGCGGCCUAUCAGCUUGUUGGUGAGGUAAUGGCUCACCAAGGCGACGACGGGUAGCCGGCCUGAGAGGGUGACCGGCCACACUGGGACUGAGACACGGCCCAGACUCCUACGGGAGGCAGCAGUGGGGAAUAUUGCACAAUGGGCGCAAGCCUGAUGCAGCGACGCCGCGUGAGGGAUGACGGCCUUCGGGUUGUAAACCUCUUUCAGUAGGGAAGAAGCGAAAGUGACGGUACCUGCAGAAGAAGCACCGGCUAACUACGUGCCAGCAGCCGCGGUAAUACGUAGGGUGCGAGCGUUAUCCGGAAUUAUUGGGCGUAAAGAGCUCGUAGGCGGUUUGUCGCGUCUGUCGUGAAAGUCCGGGGCUUAACCCCGGAUCUGCGGUGGGUACGGGCAGACUAGAGUGCAGUAGGGGAGACUGGAAUUCCUGGUGUAGCGGUGGAAUGCGCAGAUAUCAGGAGGAACACCGAUGGCGAAGGCAGGUCUCUGGGCUGUAACUGACGCUGAGGAGCGAAAGCAUGGGGAGCGAACAGGAUUAGAUACCCUGGUAGUCCAUGCCGUAAACGUUGGGCACUAGGUGUGGGGACCAUUCCACGGUUUCCGCGCCGCAGCUAACGCAUUAAGUGCCCCGCCUGGGGAGUACGGCCG